AACGAACGCUGGCGGCAUGCCUAACACAUGCAAGUCGAACGAGACCUUCGGGUCUAGUGGCGCACGGGUGCGUAACGCGUGGGAACCUGCCCUUAGGUUCGGAAUAACUCCCCGAAAGGGGUGCUAAUACCGGAUAAUGUCUUCGGACCAAAGAUUUAUCGCCUUUGGAUGGGCCCGCGUUGGAUUAGCUAGUUGGUAGGGUAAAAGCCUACCAAGGCGACGAUCCAUAGCUGGUCUGAGAGGAUGAUCAGCCACACUGGGACUGAGACACGGCCCAGACCCUUCCGGGGGGAGGCGGGGGGAAAUUUUGGAAAUGGGGCGAAAGCCGAACCCGGCAAUGCCGGGGGGGUGAUAAAGGCUUUGGGGUUUUAAAGCUUUUUUACCCGGGAUGUUAAGGAAGGUACCGGGAGAAUAAGCCCCGGCUAACUCCGG
rnacentral:rRNA from 1 species